UGGAACAGACGCAACCUGUCCAAGAGACAUAGAAAAAAAAAAAAGACCAAAAGCAUGAUACAGAACGAGAGUCUGCGGCAGGGUCACCUUUACCGCACUCGUUUUUUUUGCAGAUGAAAAGAAAAACAUAAGAGAGGAGGGAAAAAGACAAGCCCAGACGAAGCUCCUGUUCUUUGUCGAACUCUAUUUUUAUUUGACAAGAUAACAAGAGAGCAACAUUGUCCUGUGAAAUGCGAUUUCAUCUGCCCAGGCGGACUAUUCUGAGCUGCCCGAGCUCACUUUGCUCCCUCAUCACUUCCGCCAUGACUGAUCUUUCACCUUCCCUCCUGGUUUGCUGCCUCAGCUCGUCGGGGGGGAACCGGAACGCUCACUUGUGUUGAUGGACGACACGGGCCUGCUGGCUGUUUUUCUUCAUGAUGUCAGGUGGCAGUGGAGGGCGUUUCCUCCAGCGUGCACCCCUGCUGCCAAUUUGAUCAUCAGGUGAAGGACUGCGAAGAUCCGAUGUCUCUUGUUGGAUUGUUGUCCUUGUUGCUGCUCUUGCUCAAGUGUUGUUUUCUGGAACUCUCCAUCUCGUCAUUGGUGUUUUUGAGCUCCAGCCUCCCGCUUCUUUGCCAUCAUCGUGGUCAGCAGCCAAAGGGCUGAUGGGCAGUGCACAGCAGGAGGCCACUGGGCUGAAGGACACACUCGUCCACACACACACUCACACUUGCACACUGAAACUUGUG